rnacentral:lncRNA from 13 species
GGCGGCGGCGGCGGCGACAGCGGUGGCGGUGGUCAGGCUCCGCUUCGCAACACCGUCGCGGCGGCGGUCCCCACCGAAAUCUCGCGCGCGCGAUCAAUCGGAGCAGUGGUGCGAAUCAAUCAACCGAUCCCGGGUGCGAGACGUCGCCGUCGCUCUCCUCGCGCGGAGAGACGGAUCCUCCUGCACACGGCGCGGGCGGCGUGCUCGGACGUAAACGACAGGCUGCCGCUCGUCGUUCAGUUUCAGCAUGGAGUGUCCCGAAGCGGUAGAACGAGGUCGGAAUUUUCGUCUACUCGCUGAAGAGGAAUUAUCUAAGCUCUUGGAUUUUCUUACGGAGUAUUUGCCUGAAUCGUUAAAGGGAUAUUCACCUUCGUUCAUCUUCGAGGGAUCAAUCUCAUAUUGAAAGGAUAAGACUAUUAUCAUGAGGAAAGCAAUGUCCGAGCUGCGUCAUAAAGUAGUAAACUUCUGUAAACUAGUCCGAGAGCCGAUAGUUGUGUCAGAGUUCAAAUUGUGCGUGAUACACGCAUCUUCGAUACAUGUUAUACUGAUAAUAUUCAGAUAAUGUUCAAAUAUCUAUAAAAUGUAAUCAAUUAGUGACGAUGAACCAUGCAAUGUUUACUUAAUUAAGAAAUAUCCAACGAGAUAUUUCAAUUACUUUUAUUGACAAUAACUUGAAUUUUUGACUGUUCAACCGUAAUGUAAUAAAUAUUGCCAUUUAAAUACUUACAAUAUUAUUAAAUAAAUUUCUUUUCAUGUUUUAACAAUUAACAAAUAUAACUAUCGCCGUAUCUGUUCUUCAAGAAAAAACUUUGACGUGUAUGUGGUGUGUGUUAAUCUUUCAUCUACGAUAUAUAAAUAAAACUAUAAAAAACA